rnacentral:rRNA from 1 species
GAGUUUGAUCCUGGCUCAGGACGAACGCUGGCGGCGUGCCUAACACAUGCAAGUCGAACGGAGAACUCAAAAAGCUUGCUUUGAGAGUUCUUAGUGGCGGACGGGUGAGUAACGCGUGGGCAACCUCCCCCUUAAACCGGGACAACCCUUGGAAACGAGGGCUAAUACCGGAUACACUUUUCUGAGGACAUCCUCGGGAAAGGAAAGGCGGCCUCUGAAGAUGCUGCCGAUAAGGGAUGGACCCGCGUCUGAUUAGCUGGUUGGUGGGGUAAAGGCCUACCAAGGCGACGAUCAGUAGCCGGCCUGAGAGGGUGAACGGCCACACUGGGACUGAGACACGGCCCAGACUCCUACGGGAGGCAGCAGUGGGGGAUCUUCCGCAAUGGACGAAAGUCUGACGGAGCAACGCCGCGUGUAUGACGAAGGCCUUCGGGUUGUAAAGUACUGUCUUUAGGGACGAACGGUAUCUAUGUGAACAAUGUAGGUACAUGACGGUACCUAAGGAGGAAGCCCCGGCUAACUACGUGCCAGCAGCCGCGGUAAUACGUAGGGGGCGAGCGUUGUCCGGAAUCAUUGGGCGUAAAGGGCGCGUAGGCGGAUUUUUAAGUCUGGUGUGAAAACUUGGGGCUCAACCCCAAGCCUGCAUCGGAAACUGGGAAUCUUGAGGACAGGAGAGGAAAGUGGAAUUCCACGUGUAGCGGUGAAAUGCGUAGAGAUG